GACGAACGCUGGCGGCGUGCUUAACACAUGCAAGUCGAACGGGAACCGGGCUCUCGGGUUUGGUGAGCGUGGCGAACGGGUGAGUAACACGUGAGUAAACCGCCCCCUUCUUUGGGAUAACGUCGGGAAAAAGGCGCUAAUACUGGAUAUUCUUGCUGCAUCGCCUGGUGUGGUUUGGGAAGGGUUUCUGGUGGGGGAUGGGCUGGCGGCCUAUCAGCUUGUUGGUGGGGUGAUGGCUUACCAAGGCUUUGACGGGUAGCCGGCCUGAGAGGGUGUCCGGCCGCACGUGGACGGAGACACGGCCCAGGCGCCUACGGGAGGCAGCAGAGGGGAGGAAGGCGCGAGGAGCGCAAGCCUGAGGCAGCGACGCCGCGGGAGGGAUGACGGCUUUGGGGUGGUAAACCUCUGUCAGUAUAGAGCAAUGAUCCUUCUUGUGGGGGGUUUGAGGGUACUGGCAGAAGAAGCGCCGGCUAACUACGUG
rnacentral:rRNA from 1 species